rnacentral:rRNA from 1 species
AAUGGGGGCAACCCUGAUCCAGCCAUGCCGCGUGAGUGAAGAAGGCCUUCGGGUUGUAAAGCUCUUUCGGCCGGGAAGAAAUCGUGUGGGCUAAUACCUCACAUGGAUGACGGUACCGGAAUAAGAAGCACCGGCUAACUACGUGCCAGCAGCCGCGGUAAUACGUAGGGUGCGAGCGUUAAUCGGAAUUACUGGGCGUAAAGCGUGCGCAGGCGGUUUGAUAAGACAGGCGUGAAAUCCCCGGGCUUAACCUGGGAACUGCGCUUGUGACUGUCUCACUAGAGUACGGCAGAGGGGGGUGGAAUUCCACGUGUAGCAGUGAAAUGCGUAGAGAUGUGGAGGAACACCGAUGGCGAAGGCAGCCCCCUGGGCCGAUACUGACGCUCAUGCACGAAAGCGUGGGGAGCAAA